rnacentral:rRNA from 1 species
GAUGAACGCUGGCGGCGUGCCUAAUACAUGCAAGUCGAGCGAAUGGAUUGAGAGCUUGCUCUUAUGAAGUUAGCGGCGGACGGGUGAGUAACACGUGGGUAACCUGCCCAUAAGACUGGGAUAACUCCGGGAAACCGGGGCUAAUACCGGAUAACAUUUUGAACCGCAUGGUUCGAAAUUGAAAGGCGGCUUCGGCUGUCACUUGUGGAUGGACCCGCGUCGCAUUAGCUAGUUGGUGAGGUAACGGCUCACCAAGGCAACGAUGCGUAGCCGACCUGAGAGGGUGAUCGGCCACACUGGGACUGAGACACGGCCCAGACUCCUACGGGAGGUAGCAGUAGGGAAUCUUCCGCAAUGGACGAAAGUCUGACGGAGCAACGCCGCGUGAGUGAUGAAGGCUUUCGGGUCGUAAAACUCUGCUGUUAGGGAAGAACAAGUGCUAGUUGAAUAAGCUGGCACCUUGACGGUACCUAACCAGAAAGCCACGGCUAACUACGUGCCAGCCGCCGCGGUAA